AUUGAACGCUGGCGGCAUGCCUUACACAUGCAAGUCGAACGGCAGCACGGGUGCUUGCACCUGGUGGCGAGUGGCGAACGGGUGAGUAAUAUAUCGGAACGUACCUUAUUGUGGGGGAUAACGCAGCGAAAGCUGUGCUAAUACCGCAUAAUCCCUAAGGGGGAAAGCGGGGGACCGUAAGGCCUCGCGCAAUUAGAGCGGCCGAUACCUGAUUAGCUAGUUGGUGAGGUAAAGGCUCACCAAGGCAAAGAUCAGUAGCUGGUCUGAGAGGACGAGCAGCCACACGGGGACUGAGACACGGCCCAGACUCCUACGGGAGGCAGCAGUGGGGAAUUUUGAACAAUGGGGGCAACCCUGAUCCAGCAAUGCCGCGUGAGUGAAGAAGGCCUUCGGGUUGUAAAGCUCUUUUGUCAGGGAAGAAACAGCAGCUCUAACACAGUAUGCGAAUGACGGUACCUGAAGAAUAAGCACCGGCUAACUACGUGCCAGCCGCCGCCGUAA
rnacentral:rRNA from 1 species